GUAACGUGGGAUCACGGCAUGCCCGCUUUGGACGGAUGACUUGGGAAAAAGGGGCAAAGGUGUAAGAGCUGCUCAGGGAAGCAGGGCACGUCACUCCCCUGUUUCCCUCUGCUACCCGAGGAAAUGGUGUUGCCCCCCGCGACGUGAAGGUCGGGUGAGAGAGCAGGUGGCACUGGGAGCGAGUGUUCGCCCCUAGACGAGAGGCAGCUGCAAAUCGCCUGGUCCCCGGCAGCCCAGCUGUUGGAUGUGUAAAUAUUGGCGUUGUUCACAUAAAUAUUACAGAUUGUGGCAGUGAGGUUCCAGCUCCGGUGAGAAAACCCAGCCCUGCGGCCUCUGAGGAAAAAGCUGAGCUUGGCUGUGCUGCUUUGCUGCUUUUCUUCCUUGUAGGGGCCAGGCCCUGCUGCGGCACACCAGCGGGAGAGGCCUCGCCAAAGCCACGUCCAAAGCCGGUCCUUGCCCACCCGUGGGCUGCAGCCUGCGCAGUGGUGCUCAGGGUGCGCAGCGGCACAAGUGGGGCAGCCCACGGCCCCGCUCGGCGUGGGGCACCCCAGAUGCGCCCGUGGCUUGGCCGGAGAGGGCGGUUUCAAAAUGCUCAGGAGCCCAGGAUGCAAGGGCAGCCUGUCACCACCACAGCCAGAAUGACGCAUGGGAUUCUGGAUGGCGUCUGCUACUCACCUCUACGCUGACAUUGGAAGAAUCAGCUUUUUUCCAGCUAACGAGCCUUCUCAAGAUGUCCCCUGUGUCCUCCUUCCCCACCAGAAGAAAACCAAAUCGUGGACUGUGUCUUUCCACCCUUGUACAGGCUACAGAACGGGAUGAGCUGCCACAAUACCCUUAUCUCAAAGACCAGAUACCUGAGGGCUGCCUGACUGGCCAUGACUGCCUGUGUUGUGCACGGACGUGGCGCAGUUGUUGGAGCGCUGACAGCGAGAGCGCUGCUGCUCGCAAAAUCCGCGUGCUCCAAUUCAGGUCUUAUCAUUGUUCCUGGGGAAAAGUUACUGUGCGUGUGCCGCUCUCCCAGAUGUAAUUCCCUAACAUAAGUAUCCCAGUCUGGAAUUGAAGUUGGAGUGAAAAGAAGUACAAUUUCGCUCUGUGAAGAGAACCUUCAUUCACUUGCCUGCAAUGCCAGUGAAAUGGUACAACUUUCCCUUCCUCUUCUGCAAUUCACAAAUGGCUAAAAUGACUUCUCUGACAGCGACGUUCCUUUAUUAACUGCUUAGUGUCUGCACUCGCCGCCUCAGACUGCAGCAAUGCUUCUCUAAGUGCCAGGGUUGCGUUAGAGCGUUAGUACUUCGGUGUGGAUGUACCCAGAGGAGCUGGAUGAAUAACUUGUGAUGCGUAAUUUAUUCAAUGAAUGUAGUCCCUUUUUCUGUGCUCGCAAGAACUCUGUUGAAGAGGCAGUCGGGGGGUUGUUGCGCUUAGUUGUUCGAACGCCUUUUAAGCGAAUGCUGUACCGCAUAUAAUACACACAGGUAUAUUUCACAGCGUAUGAAAUUGCUCGUGAAUGUUUUUUGCCGAGAAUUGCUUCCAGUAUUCACAGUUCUUAGCGUGUUUGGCGGGUGCCUACGCCAGGCGGCACGUACGUGCGGCCUGUCGAGGCAACCGUCACACAAGUGGUGGUGUCUGGCAGAAGAUGCUUGCAGGCAGGCUUCAUCACCUCGGACAGCCCUGCCGGGGACCG
rnacentral:lncRNA from 1 species